rnacentral:rRNA from 1 species
GACUAUGGCCACACCAUCCAGACUGUAACCAAUCUCAUCUGCUCUUUGAAGUCAAGCCGGGGCAGAUGUGGUUAGUAGUUAGAGGGGAGACCACCUGGGAAUAGAGGGUUGAAGUGGCCU